UACGUCGGGGGCAAGCGUUGUCCGGAAUCAUUGGGCGUAAAGAGCGUGUAGGCGGCUCGAUACGUCCGCUCUGAAAGCCCGGGGCUCAACCCCGGGAGGCGGGCGGAUACUGUCGAGCUAGAGUCCGGAAGAGGCGAGUGGAAUUCCUGGUGUAGCGGUGAAAUGCGCAGAUAUCAGGAGGAACACCAAUGGCGAAGGCAGCUCGCUGGGACGGUACUGACGCUGAGACGCGAAAGCGUGGGGAGCAAACAGG
rnacentral:rRNA from 1 species